GGGGAUAUAGUUCAGUUGGUAGAAUGUUUGCCUGCCAUGACAAGGACCUGGGUUCAAUCCCCAUUGCCACCA
rnacentral:tRNA from 1 species